AUGGAGAGGCAGACCAGCUUCCGCCUGGGCGCGCUGGAGAAGCUCAAGAGCUUCCGGGGGAUGGACAACUUCCGGCGGAGCAAGGACAGCCCCGGCAAGCGCGGUGACACGCCGCUCCACCUCGCGGCGAGGGCCGGCAACGUCUCCAACGUCCAGAGGAUCCUUGCCGAAUCCGGCCAGGAGAUGGCCGGCGAGCUGGCCGCCCGGCCGAACCAGGACGGGGAGACGGCGCUGUACGUGGCCGCCGACAAGGGGCACACGGAGGUGGUGCGCGAGAUCUUGAAGGUGUCUGAUAUGCAGACGGCGGGGAUCAAGGCCAGCAACAGCUUCGACGCCUUCCACAUCGCGGCGAAGCAGGGCCAUCUGGAUGUUCUGAAGGAGCUGCUGCAGGCCUUUCCUGCUCUUGCUAUGACUACAAACUCUGUAAACGCCACAGCUUUGGAAACUGCUGCCAUUCAGGGUCACAUUGAUAUUGUCAACCUCCUACUGGAAACUGAUGCUAGCCUUGCCAAAAUUGCGAGAAAUAAUGGGAAAACAGUUUUGCAUUCCGCGGCGAGGAUGGGCCAUGUGGAAGUUGUAAGAUCCUUGUUAAAUAAGGAUCCAGGGAUUGGUUUAAGAACAGACAAGAAGGGGCAGACGGCGCUGCAUAUGGCGUCCAAAGGAACGAAUGCUGAAAUUGUGGUUGAGUUGUUGAAGCCUGAUUUCUCAGUUAGCCAUCUAGAAGAUAACAAGGGGAACAGGCCACUGCAUGUUGCGACUCGGAAGGGCAAUAUCGUUAUAGUGCAGACUCUACUGUCAGUUGAGGGGAUUGAUGUCAAUGCAGUUAACAGGUCUGGAGAGACUGCUCUUGCCAUUGCUGAGAAGAUGAACAACCAAGAACUCGUCAACAUUCUGAGAGACGCCGGCGGCGUCGUAACUGCAAAAGAGCCAGUGCAUCCUGCAAACCCGGCAAAGCAGCUGAAGCAAACCGUGAGUGAUAUCAGGCACGACGUCCAGUCCCAGAUCAAGCAGACACGGCAGACCAAGAUGCAGGUCCAGAAGAUCAAGAGCAGGCUGGAGAAGCUCCACAUCGGCGGCCUGAACAACGCCAUCAACUCCAACACCGUGGUGGCGGUGCUCAUCGCCACCGUCGCCUUCGCUGCCAUAUUCACCGUGCCCGGCAACUUCGUGGAGGACAUGAGCCAGGCGCCCCCCGGCAUGUCGCUGGGGCAGGCGUACGUGGCCAGCGAACCGGCCUUCAUAAUGUUCCUGGUGUUCGACUCGCUGGCGCUCUUCAUCUCGCUCGCCGUCGUGGUCGUCCAGACGUCGCUGAUCGUGGUGGAGCAGAAGGCCAAGCGGAGGAUGGUCUUCGUGAUGAACAAGCUCAUGUGGCUGGCGUGCCUCUUCAUCUCCGCGGCGUUCAUAGCGCUGACCUACGUCGUGGUCGGCCGCGGCGACUGGUGGCUGGCCUGGUGCACCAUGGCCAUCGGCGCGGUGAUCAUGCUCACCACCCUCGGCUCCAUGUGCUACUGCAUCGUGGCGCACAGGAUGGAGGAGAAGAGCAUGAGGAAGAUCAGGAAGGCCUCCGCGAGCCAGUCCCGGUCAUGGUCCAUGCCGGUCGACUCGGACCCGGAGCUGAUCAACACCGAGUACAAGAAGAUGUACGCGUUGUAG
rnacentral:rRNA from 1 species